UAGGGAAUCUUCCGCAAUGGACGCAAGUCUGACGGAGCAACGCCGCGUGAGUGAAGAAGGAUUUCGGUUCGUAAAACUCUGUUGUUAGAGAAGAACAGCGCAUAGAGUAACUGUUAUGCGUGUGACGGUAUCUAACCAGGAAGCCACGGCUAACUACGUGCCAGCAGCCGCGGUAAUACGUAGGUGGCAAGCGUUGUCCGGAUUUAUUGGGCGUAAAGCGAGCGCAGGCGGUCAAUUAAGUCUGAUGUGAAAGCCCCCGGCUCAACCGGGGAGGGUCAUUGGAAACUGGUUGACUUGAGUGCAGAAGAGGAGAGUGGAAUUCCAUGUGUAGCGGUGAAAUGCGUAGAUAUAUGGAGGAACACCAGUGGCGAAGGCGACUCUCUGGUCUGUAACUGACGCUGAGGCUCGAAAGCGUGGGUAGCAAACAGG
rnacentral:rRNA from 1 species